CUGACUCCCUGCUUCUCCGCAG
rnacentral:miRNA from 1 species